UCAAGGCUGCAUGAUCCGUA
rnacentral:siRNA from 1 species